rnacentral:rRNA from 1 species
UGCAGUCGAGCGGAACGAGUUAUCUGAACCUUCGGGGGACGAUAACGGCGUCGAGCGGCGGACGGGUGAGUAAUGCCUAGGAAAUUGCCCUGAUGUGGGGGAUAACCAUUGGAAACGAUGGCUAAUACCGCAUAACACCUUCGGGUCAAAGAGGGGGACCUUCGGGCCUCUCGCGUCAGGAUAUGCCUAGGUGGGAUUAGCUAGUUGGUGAGGUAAUGGCUCACCAAGGCGACGAUCCCUAGCUGGUCUGAGAGGAUGAUCAGCCACACUGGAACUGAGACACGGUCCAGACUCCUACGGGAGGCAGCAGUGGGGAAUAUUGCACAAUGGGCGCAAGCCUGAUGCAGCCAUGCCGCGUGUGUGAAGAAGGCCUUCGGGUUGUAAAGCACUUUCAGUCGUGAGGAAGGUAGUGUAGUUAAUAGCUGCAUUAUUUGACGUUAGCGACAGAAGAAGCACCGGCUAACUCCGUGCCAGCAGCCGCGGUAAUACGGAGGGUGCGAGCGUUAAUCGGAAUUACUGGGCGUAAAGCGCAUGCAGGUGGUUUGUUAAGUCAGAUGUGAAAGCCCGGGGCUCAACCUCGGAAUAGCAUUUGAAACUGGCAGGCUAGAGUACUGUAGAGGGGGGUAGAAUUUCA